CGGAGAAACUUUCAAAUCAAUGUGUAACUGCGAUGAAACUGCAGAAUAGUCAAUAGCUAUGUUAAUUGGAGAACCAAUAGUCAAUGUGCUGAAUAAAUGUUAGGGCCGUAGAAUCAAAUUGGGAGUCGAUUGCCUCUCUACUUUUGCAUCUCUGUUUAUCGAAUUAAAAUGUGCUGAAACUUGAGUUUGAUGUUUGUCGGGAAGCAUUUGAUGAUCCCUGUUCUUCCGUGGCCGUUCUUCUCCAAAGUUCACUGGUAGGUCAGUUUCUAUAACAAUCUACCACAAACGCAGGUAACUUGAUAAUUGAUAAUAUUUUCUUACAUGAUGGGAAAGAAGGGGAAAUUAGCAGUGCUGGUCACGAUGGUUUUGACUGUGACUAUUAUCAUUAUUAUCAUUGUUUUCUACCUUUACCAAUUCAUUGAUAUUCAAACUGUGUUGUGGGUACCAUCCCAUUGAGUUCUUGAUGGUCACAUGGGUAUUGAAGUGUGAAAAGCUUGUUGAUGGCUUUGUCUUCAUGCUAUAUCGAAGAAGCAUCAAAGCUGCAUCAAUUGGCUGAGAUUGUUCUCAAUGGGAACCCAGUCAAGACUUGCUGCAAAGGACGGAUUCAUUUCAGGGUCGACGUUGCUGGCUGGACAGAAGUUGCGAAUUCUACCUUCAAAGGAUGAGCAAUGAGCAAAUCCCAAGAGCCACUAGGUCGUCCAAGGAUAAUCCCCUUUGGGAGAAGCUUUGUUGCAGCUGAGAAAUGUUGAAGCUUGGAGAUGGCAAUUGUAUUGUUUCACUAACCUUUGAUAUCCUUCCAUCCUUUCUCCCUUUGGGAACAUCCCAUGUUGGGCCUCCAGACUCUAGAGCCACAAUAUCAGCACAAGAGACAACACCGGGGCAAUAGGAUUCCAGUUCUUUCUUUGCGUUGUCGAUCACGAAAAACGAGUGCAAAGACAAAUUAGGAGGCCCAUCUUUCUCAGCUUUGUUGUUCCCUACUGAAUUCAGCAGUACAGAUGCAUCACAGCCCUUCACCCAAGCAAACAAAACCAGUCAUGAAAGUGCAUCCGGAGGAGUCCCGCAGGGACAGUCUUGUCUUUGUAAGCUGCACUCUUGACAGCUUUAUUAACGAUGAAGUCAACACCUGGACAUGUCUUCUCGUAGUAGUCUAAGCUCAGUGAACUCCCCGAAGGCAAAACAGACAGCAAAAGCAUUGCAAAGUGUGAGAAUACCACAGCAAAUGAGGCCAUGACCUACAAAUAUAGGAAAUGAAAGGUGAUAGAAGAGUUGCAAUACAAAGCCGUGACAUGAUAGCGGCCCCAGACGUUGAACAAAUGCAAAUAAUGACGAAGUGAUUCUGAAGCAAUGCUGAUCCAACAACAUGCACGACACUGGCUGCUGUUGCUCCUUGAACCUUCAACUUUCGGACUUAGGGAGUGGGACAACAUCAUGCCAAAAUUUUGGUAAUAAUUAUGUUUGCUUUGAAUGAAAGAUCUGGAAACCCAAAUAGGUUAUACCCUCCUCUUGUUGCUAUUGGCAUCUUGGUUGGUCCCCAAUUUGGUGCUCUUUAACGAACGCGGUUGUGGAAACUGUUAUUUGGAUAGAUUGCCAUUCUUUCA